GGGGAAAAAAAAAAAGGCAGCUUUCAGUUACUAAACCCCCUCGUGGUAUUGAAUUCUAACCAAGUACAUCCAGCCCUGCCAGCCAGAAAUGCCAAAAGGAGGAAAGCUGCUGAAUCAGAGGAGAGUCAGGAUUGGGAGGAUGGUAGGGAAUAUGAGAGUAGCACUAGGCAAACAAAAUGGUGAGCGCGCCUUGGGCUACGUUUUCAGCGUGUUUUCUUGGGAGAUCAAAGCCUAAAUCCCAUUAACCCUUCAAAUGUCAGCCUGGUGGCUCAGAGAAAAUGUGACCUGGAUCCAAAUCGCCGCUGAGUUCACUGUGCUGAGCCCCAAACCCCCUCAGACAGCCAAAGAGGGAGAAGAAAAGUCAAAUUAAACCUUCCACAGAUUCUGCCUCAGUUGUCCUGACACAAGGAAACAUCUCUGGGCUUAUCCUGCAACCAAAGCUUUUGUGAUGUAUAAAUGAUUUAAUUUCUCACUGCACUUUUUGGAAGGCUGGGUCCUCACUCCAACAAGGUAAAAAUGUUAUCAUUUUCCUCUAGUCACAUAAAAAUCUUCUGGGACACAGACCUUCUUCUUUAGGCACCCUUGAGAUCUCUCUGGAAGCCAGUCCAAUUUUUAUAUUUCCCUAUAAAUUCCAACCCCAAUUAGGUUGGAAUCCAUAGGCUGAGAGAGACAUUUUGGCUUUUUGCUGCCUUCUCCAGCAGCCUGGGCGCUUGCUGAAAUAAAUCACAGCUCUUUUUAGAGCUGGACGUGGCCAGAGGUGGACGCAGAGGAGCUGAACACGAUGAUCUCAAAAGAGAUGCUCUGAAUUAAGCAGGAGGUUGCUAAGCCACGAGACUGCUGCAGUCGCCAACAAAAGUUACAGCGCUGAGUCCUCGCACAGAAUGGGGUUUUCCGAGGGGAAAAAAAGUCUGCAAGGACAUAACCUGAGCUGGUUAUGGCUGAAAAAAGCUCCUGAAGCCAUCCAGGAUUUCAUUUGUAGCUCUUACAGCAUCCACAAGAAACCAAGCAAAGCCAAGGAGCCUCCCUUGCCCCAAAAUCUGGAGUCUGCAGACUGAACUCUGCCUGGUUCUGGUGAUUCUAUUUAUUUAUAUGGACAUUAAAAUAAAAAUAAAGUUUCAUUUUCCCCAUUCUUCAUGGGC